CUUCUUUUUCAUCCUUUCUUUGUCCUUAGACAGCCCUCUGGAAUAUUGCUUCCUUCAACUGUCCUGUAUGGACCAAAUCAUCUCAUAGGAAGUCUGAAGAAUAGAGAGCAGAGGAAGAGGAGAAAAGGAUGCAGAGAGCUAAGUGCCUGUUUUGUCUCCCUUCGAAGAAAGGAUUGUAAUUUUCCAUUGAUUCAUCUGAAGCUGGACAAUAGCUUCAGUGACGUGUACGGGCCAUUGAUACUGCAGGGAAAAUGAUCAGGGCCACACCUAGGAUUUACAGGGUGGGAGGACAUCACUUCAACGAGCUUUGCCUAUGGCAAAAUGGGAGCUUUGUUAGUUUCAGAUAUUCUAUUUGUUGAUAAAUGAAUGUGAGUUCAAAGGGAGGAAAAAACAGAGUUGUGGUAGAGAUUACUUUGCAACAAACUAGUAUAUCUGAUAUUCUAAUGCAUCAAUGACACUAAGAGACUGACUUCAUAUGACUGGCCGUGUUCCAAGACUUAUAUUUAAGAAGGAACUUUAAGAGGAUACUCUUUUACUCUUUCUGAAGAGGAUAUAAAUGUUUACAGCACUUCAGUCAGAAGUGUGAAGCUACAGUCAAAUUGAGUUGUGAGGUGACCUUGUAACCUCUAAACUUUCAGUAAUUCCAUGGCUUUCUUCAGUCUUGCACAGAUCCAUUUGUGGUCUGCGACUCACAUGCUAUACUUUGAUUCUUAAUUCCAUUUUCUUUUCUCAUCUUAAUGCAUCACUCUCCCUUUCCCCCAUUUUCUAUUCUUUCAAUUUUAAGCUUCUACUCCACCUAAUUGUCAGUACCUCCAGGCGAGGAAUUGAACAAAACAUUCCAAUGCUUUCUCACGCUCUCAUCUCUUUCCUUAUAGCUCACACAGCCAAGCACAAAGUUUGCCAUUAUAUGUUGUGUCCCACAGUAAAAAAGAAAAUCGCAGUGAUUAAUGAGUAUGACAUGGCUAAGCUUCUGAUAGUCAGUGAAUGCUUCAGAUGUGACAGCUGGUGCUUGAAUGAGUAAAUGGCUGCCUGUUUAUGAUCAUUUGUCUACAGAGACAUGUCUUAUAUUGUAUUGUACAGGUGUUAAUAGAUACAAUACAAUACUUAUAUAGGUGUCUCUGAUUCAGGUAUGAUCUUAGAAGGGGAACUGUAGGUUUUUGGUGUGUCAUGUUUGUCUGUUGCCCUUACCAUGGUGGAGUCAGUAGAGAUUUAGAGAGUGCCUGGCUGAAGAUUUCAAGUUUUUUAUACAAAACAGAAAAUCAACUGACCACAUAAUCGAUAUAAUAUACAGCAAUGGGUUGUGCCAUUUGCACACAGUUGAUAGAUAUGUGGAGUGUGUCUGGGUCACAAAGAGCCCAGACAUCAAUGGACAUGUCCAAUUUACAGCAGGACUACUACAGACUGUCAGGCCUCCACUAUACGUCCUCUUUCUCUGAUGCUGAGGACUGCUGCGAUGACAUCACAAGCUCCUCCUCCUCAGACUGUCUCGGAAUAGACUGUUAAUGUUUGGUUUGGUUUUAGAAUGUUGCAGGUUACUGACAAAUAUUGCCAUUGUUCUCUUUGGCUCCAAAUUGUGUAAAAGGACGAGAUUUAUUUUGUUUCUGCUCAAUAUGGGCGACAGCCCACAUUGCCAGGGAAUAAAGACAUGCAUAUAAUAAUAUAGCAGUGGAAACUGGACCUUAAUCAUUUAACUGUAUAAUGAUGAUGAAAAUGAUCAAUACCAUUCAGUUAGAAGUAUAAAUGUACAUUCUACACACACACACGCAUACACAUGUACGUAUUGUUUCUCUUGGGAGGAACAAGCCCAUUCCCAAUGGAAGUUUUGAUAAAAUUAUGAUGUGUUCUGAUAUUGAGUACUCUGGUAUGACUAAAUACCUCCUGAAAGAAAUAAAACUGCAAAUACAUGAUUCUUCAGUUAUUUUUCCUAUGGCAUCCUGCAAGAAAAUGUUUUUAAAGAGCUGAUGAAAUAGUAUUGCUUCAGCCGUUGUGGAGUCUAGUCUCAUGAGACCACAUGAGUUUAAUAGUAAUUAAUUCACAUGUUAAGCCAUUAAUAAUGUAAUUAACAACUGGAGCACAUCAAGACGUGUGUUGCUGAAGUUAUUUGAUUUCAGCACUGAAAUGAAAGCAUUUCAGAUAAACAAAUUAAUCAGUUUGCAGUUUUAAUGUUUUUGCAUUCUAUUUGCCAAAGACCACUUCUGUGACAAAGAACACUGCUUGACUCAGAGGAUUUUAAGGUUGUUUUAAGAUCACCACCAUAAUGAUCACCGUUCACAUAUUUUGCAAGGGAUAGUUACUGUUAUACAGAACAUCCACUUACAGAAUUACUGUAAUCCACACAAAUAAAUGCAUAAUUUGAAACUAAAUGACUGUGAUUUGUUACGCUGUAUGCGGAAAGGUAAGGUAAC